GAACGCUAGCUACAGGCUUAACACAUGCAAGUCGAGGGGCAGCAUGGUCUUAGCUUGCUAAGGCCGAUGGCGACCGGCGCACGGGUGAGUAACGCGUAUCCAACCUGCCUUACACUCUUGGACAGCCUUCUGAAAGGGAGAUUAAUACAAGAUGUUAUCAUGAGUAAGCAUUUUCGCAUGAUUAAAGGUUUACCGGUGUAAGAUGGGGAUGCGUUCCAUUAGAUAGUAGGCGGGGUAACGGCCCACCUAGUCUUCGAUGGAUAGGGGUUCUGAGAGGAAGGUCCCCCACAUUGGAACUGAGACACGGUCCAAACUCCUACGGGAGGCAGCAGUGAGGAAUAUUGGUCAAUGGACGAGAGUCUGAACCAGCCAAGUAGCGUGAAGGAUGAAGGUUCUAUGGAUUGUAAACUUCUUUUAUACGGGAAUAAACGGAUCCACGUGUGGAUUUUUGCAUGUACCGUAUGAAUAAGGAUCGGCUAACUCCGUGCCAGCAGCCGCGGUAAUACGGAGGAUCCGAGCGUUAUCCGGAUUUAUUGGGUUUAAAGGGAGCGUAGAUGGGUUGUUAAGUCAGUUGUGAAAGUUUGCGGCUCAACCGUAAAAUUGCAAUUGAUACUGGCAGUCUUGAGUACAGUUGAGGUAGGCGGAAUUCGUGGUGUAGCGGCGAAAUGCUUAGAUAUCACGAAGAACUCCGAUUGCGAAGGCGGCUUACUAACCUGUAACUGACAUUGAUGCUCGAAAGUGUGGGUAUCAAACAGGAUUAGAUACCCUGGUAGUCCACACGGUAAACGAUGAAUACUCGCUGUAGGCGAUAUACAGUCUGCGGCCAAGCGAAAGCAUUAAGUAUUCCACCUGGGGAGUACGCCGGCAACGGUGAAACUCAAAGGAAUUGACGGGGGCCCGCACAAGCGGAGGAACAUGUGGUUUAAUUCGAUGAUACGCGAGGAACCUUACCCGGGCUUAAAUUGCAACCGAAUAUGGCGGAAACGCUAUAGCUAGCAAUAGCGGUUGUGAAGGUGCUGCAUGGUUGUCGUCAGCUCGUGCCGUGAGGUGUCGGCUUAAGUGCCAUAACGAGCGCAACCCUUGCCGAUAGUUACUAACAGGUUAUGCUGAGGACUCUGUCGGGACUGCCAUCGUAAGAUGUGAGGAAGGUGGGGAUGACGUCAAAUCAGCACGGCCCUUACGUCCGGGGCUACACACGUGUUACAAUGGGGGGUACAGAGGGCUGCUACCACGCAAGUGGAUGCCAAUCCCAAAAACCUCUCUCAGUUCGGAUUGAAGUCUGCAACCCGACUUCAUGAAGCUGGAUUCGCUAGUAAUCGCGCAUCAGCCACGGCGCGGUGAAUACGUUCCCGGGCCUUGUACACACCGCCCGUCAAGCCAUGGGAGCCGGGGGUACCUGAAGUGCGUAACCGCAAGGAGCGCCCUAGGGUAAAACUGGAGACU
rnacentral:rRNA from 1 species